GACGAACGCUGGCGGCGUGCUUAACACAUGCAAGUCGAACGGAAAGGCCCUGCUUUUGUGGGGUGCUCGAGUGGCGAACGGGUGAGUAACACGUGAGUAACCUGCCCUUGACUUUGGGAUAACUUCAGGAAACUGGGGCUAAUACCGGAUAGGAGCUCCUGCUGCAUGGUGGGGGUUGGAAAGUUUCGGCGGUUGGGGAUGGACGCGCGGCUUAUCAGCUUGUUGGUGGGGUAGUGGCUUACCAAGGCUUUGACGGGUAGCCGGCCUGAGAGGGUGACCGGGCACAUUGGGACUGAGAUACGGACCAGUCUCCUACGGGAGGCAGCAGUGGGGAAUAUUGCACAAUGGGCGGAAGCCUGAUGCAGCAACGCCGCGUGCGGGAUGACGGCCUUCGGGUUGUAAACCGCUUUCGCCUGUGACGAAGCGUGAGUGACGGUAAUGGGUAAAGAAGCACCGGCUAACUACGUG
rnacentral:rRNA from 1 species